rnacentral:rRNA from 1 species
AAUAUUGGACAAUGGGGGCAACCCUGAUCCAGCCAUGCCGCGUGUGUGAAGAAGGUCCUCGGAUUGUAAAGCACUUUAAGUUGGGAGGAAGGGCUUUAGGUUAAUACCCUGAAGUCUUGACGUUACCAACAGAAUAAGCACCGGCUAACUCUGUGCCAGCAGCCGCGGUAAUACAGAGGGUGCAAGCGGUAAUCGGAAUUACUGGGCGUAAAGCGCGCGUAGGUGGUUUAGUAAGGUAGGGAUAGAAUCCCCGGGCUUAACCUGGGAACUGCUUUCAUAACUGCUGAGCUAGAGUACGGUAGAGGGUGGUGGAAUUUCCUGUGUGGCGAUGAAAUGCGUAGAUAUAGGAAGGAACACCAGUGGCGAAGGCGACUACCUGGACUGAUACUGACACUGAGGUGCGAAAGCGUGGGGAGCAAAC